rnacentral:lncRNA from 1 species
GUGAGAGACAUGUGCCAUACCCACCUGAACUGUUGAAACCUUCAGGGACUGAGGCAGAUUUCUGGCAUCCUUAUUCAUGGGAGUUGUUGAUAACCAAGUUUGAGUAUCGAAAGCUCUCCAAAGAAGAACUUACUUCUUACCCAGCAAACAUUCAGAGUCCGGGUUAGAUUGCCCAAGUGUGAGUCCUUUGACAUGCCUGAGAUCUUGGGAAAUUUUUUACAUUUUCUAAAUCUCAAUUGCCUCAUUUUAAAAUGGACUAAUAAUGGUAUAAACAUCAAAAAUUAUGAUGUUGAAAUACUAUAAAACAAGAAAAUGACUGGCAUUCUGAAGUGAUUAGUUAACAUUAAUCAUUACUUUUAUUCAUAAUUUUUGCUACAGUUUGACCACAGUGCUCAAAUAGAAAAUCUUUAAAUAAUUUAAUCUCCACUGCAAUCUACUUACAAGAGCAGAAGUUUUAAAAUACUUAUUCAUGAACUCUGUGAACAAGCAAAUAUUGGUUUGAUGAUUCUUCCCACCCCUCUUGUCUUAGUGGCAUAGACAGCAAAGGGGCUGGCUGAGAAGGCAGCAUUGGAGACGCAGUUAGAAAUAAAAACCGGAGAGCUCUGAGCCCGCUGCGGGUCUCCUGAGACAAACAUGUGAAGCCCCUCCUUGGCCUGCUCUGCCGCAAGUCAUUAAUCAACUUCUUACACCUCAUCUGAAGGAGGGACAGCUCCGUUUCCUCUCCCUGCCAGCCAGCUGGACGAGCACUAGGGAGGACCGGCUCAGAGCCCUGGGUGGCACAUCCUCAGCCGCGACGGAGCGCAGUGUGUUUGGGUGUCGCCCUUGGGGCUACUCGUGAGGUGACCACUUGUGUACGGUGCCUGAUGCUUCUGUUGCUGGAGCAAUGGAGAAAGAUACCACUUGGCCACAGGCCUUCAAGAUUUUAUCAGUUUUCUCCGAGGACUCACAUGUCAGAGGCACUGUGGGGACCACGGGACAUUCCCUGCUAACUGACAAUGAAGAUGUAAAACUUCAGUCCAACGAGAAGAGUGAAGCCGAUGCUUCACGGAGCUGUUGGCUACUGCUGCACAGCGCGGUGCCGCUGCUGCCCGAGGCCCUGGUCCAGUGUUCCUGCCUCUGUGCGUCAUGCGACCCCGGGCAAGGCCAUUGUCUCCGCACUUCAAAGGGGAAUCACGAAGAAAGUCUUACAUGCACACAAGUAUUAUUUGUUAUUAAUUACAUGGCAUAAUAAUCUCAGAUGAACAGGAUUUUGCCAUCCCUUUAAUAUUGUUAAAAUGUUUAUUUCUAUUUUGUUCAUUUAGUAUUUUGAUUUUUAAGGAAAAAUUUAAACUUUUUUAAUGGUCAAAGGUUUUUAUUUUCUGUUUAUCAGGCCACAUUUUCUGUUGACAUACGUCAAAAAUACACAUGGAGGGCAUCAACUGCACAACUCAAUAUUCUUUUGGAUUACUUUUUAAGAAAAAAAAAGGGAACAAAAACCUUAAAACAACACCUGCUCCUUGCAGAAUUUGACCUGACCCCUUUCUCCUUUGCUUGUUAUUAUAAA